AUGCGAUACCUAGUGUGAAUUGCAGGGCUCAGUGAAUCAUCGAAAUUUUGAACGCAUAUUGCGCUCAUGGGUGACCAUGAGCACGCCUGUUUGAGGAACGGUA
rnacentral:rRNA from 2 species